CCAUAGGCGGAGGGAAGGAUACAGGGAAGCUUGGUUAAUAACAGAGUUAAAGGGAAUGGGUGUCGGAAGCAAAGGGUCUGAAGUUCACGACUGCUAGAAGGGGAGGGGAAUGAAAGGCUCUCAGUGAAGAAGGUCCAGAACCCUUCAGAUCAACUUACCAAUAAGCUCAAUAUGUAAAACAGGAAUAAUGAAAUCUUCGCAGAACUGGUAUGAAAAUGAAACGAGCCAGCAAAAAUGAAAGUGGACCCUGGACCUCUGGCACGCACAAGCCCUCAUGCUUUUCCUUCCCGUCAGAUUGUGGUUUUGGGGAUGCACAGAAGAUGCAGUGACCAGACAAUGCAUGUUUUCUUCACCUCAGUGUUGGGCUUUGUGAGAAGGAUGACUUUGAUUUCUUUGCUAUAAUUAGCCUCUGUUGUCAAUGAAGCUGAGAAGUUAUUACCUGCAGAAACUAGAGUUCGAUCACUGGUUCUUUUGACUUUAUUGCCAAGUUAUAUUGCAAAACAGGUUAUAUUGCAAAAAUAUUAUUGCAAAUUUAAAGUUAAAGGAAUUUUUUAAUAUCCAUCUCAUGCUAAUCGUUUUGAAUCAUCUAAUAGUUUGAAGAUUCAAAGGAAAGGUGUAAUUCCAAAUUGAGCAUACACCAUGUUUAUAGAAAACUGGAUGUUUCAUGUUAUUUCACCCUUGCAAAACAGAAGGCAGUGUCUUCUUUGAACCUGUGCUCACAUAUUCCUGGCUCUGCCACUUGCAUUUUUGAGAAAACCAGUCAACUUUUCUGAGCUAUAGUUUUCUCAGGUAAAAUGAACAUACCAUACUUAAUUUAUAGAGACUCAGGGAUAAUAAUGUAAAACUGAAUUUAAAGUGUAGCUUGAGUAAUUCUGGGUACGUCUUCUGGAUCAGGCUGUAAACUAGGAGACGUUUGACAGAGAUACAUGUUAGUUAUUUUAAGAUGAAAGAGACAGAGGGUUGAGAACCAGGAUCCUUGAAUCCUCAACCAGCCAGCUACUGUGGUUUCAGCUGCACUCUUGGUCCCUAUAAUAGAUAUGUCUAUAGAGGACCAGACCAGACAGACACUAGCCAUGGAAAAGGGCUGGAGCCUUGACCUGCUGUCCAGGAUGAAGGGUGGUCAGUGGAUGAUCUUUCCCAUGGUCCACUGAUCAUUUGUCACUCUUUUCCUUAUGUUACUAUGGCUCUUUGGAUUUAUCAUAUCCUGCCUUGUAUUAUAUUUACUGUAUGCAAGUAUAUACCCUCCACUGAAAUAUAAAUAUCUCAAGAGCAGGGAUCAUAUCUUAUUUAUCUUUAUAGAAUUUUUUUUGAGAUAGUAAGAACUCAAUAAAUGGUUUGUUUAAUUGAAUUGGCACCCAAAUGCCCGGAAAAUGUUGAUGUUUCCUCCUUAUGUAGUCUUAAAAUAGGGAAGAUUUGUAGUUGUAAAGUAGCAAAAGCAACUUAAACCAAACCAAAAUGCACUAACAAUGAGGUUAACGUUGUCAGGUAAUAUUCGAGGAAUAAUGGACAAGGAGCUGAGUCACAUGUUGGUUCAUCAUUCAUUCAGCACACGUUUACUGAGAACUUGUUGUACAUCAGGCACUAUAUUUGAUGACCAGGAUACAGAUGAAAAGAUAUUGUCUCUGCACUCAUGGAGUUCACAGUUUCAGUUGUGUUUGACCCAGGAAUAAUUUUUAAUAAAAAAAAAAUUGACUCUCUCUUUGCAAAACAACAACAAACAAAAAGCUCUUUAUUGUGUUAGGACAAAAGCCUUCCAUACCAAUUUCUCUUUGAAAAAAAAUUUUUUUUGUUAUUUAGAAUGAGUUUUUUAAUUGAGAUAUAAUUAGCAUAUAACAUGAUACUAGUUUCAGGUAUAUAACAAUUCCACAUUUGUAUACAUUAUGAAAUGAUCACAAUAAGUCUAACAUCCAUCACCACACAUAGUUACAAAAUUUUCAUGUGAAUUUCUCAAAGGCUUUAAAUCAAGGAGAUUUUAAAAUCAUAUCAUAUAUUUUCCUAGCAUUUCUUAAGAUUCUUG